UACGUAGGGGGCAAGCGUUGUCCGGAUUCAUUGGGCGUAAAGAGCGUGUAGGCGGCCAAACAGGUCCGUUGUGAAAACUGGAGGCUCAACUUCCAGACGUCGACGGAAACCGUGUGGCUAGAGUCCGGAAGAGGAGAGUGGAAUUCCUGGUGUAGCGGUGAAAUGCGCAGAUAUCAGGAAGAACACCAAUGGCGAAGGCAGCUCUCUGGGACGGUACUGACGCUGAGACGCGAAAGCGUGGGGAGCGAACAGG
rnacentral:rRNA from 1 species